rnacentral:rRNA from 1 species
GUGGGGAAUCUUGCGCAAUGGGCGAAAGCCUGACGCAGCCAUGCCGCGUGAAAGAUGAAGGUCUUAGGAUUGUAAAAUUCUUUCACCGGGGACGAUAAUGACGGUACCCGGAGAAGAAGCUCCGGCUAACUUCGUGCCAGCAGCCGCGGUAAUACGAAGGGGGCUAGCGUUGCUCGGAAUUACUGGGCGUAAAGGGCGCGUAGGCGGACAGCUUAGUCAGAGGUGAAAGCCCAGGGCUCAACCUUGGAAUUGCCUUUGAUACUGGCUGUCUUGAGUUUGGGAGAGGUGAGUGGAACUCCGAGUGUAGAGGUGAAAUUCGUAGAUAUUCGGAAGAACACCAGUGGCGAAGGCGACUCACUGGCCCAAUACUGACGCUGAGGCGCGAAAGCGUGGGGAGCAAACAGGAUUAGAAACCCGGGUAGUCC